rnacentral:rRNA from 1 species
CCUACGGGAGGCAGCAGUGGGGAAUAUUGCGCAAUGGGCGAAAGCCUGACGCAGCGACGCCGCGUGGGUGAAGGAGUAUUUCGGUAUGUAAAGCCCUAUCAGCAGGGAAGAACAAUGCCGUUCCCUGACUCAGACGCACCGGCGAAAUACGUGCCAGCAGCCGCGGUAAUACGGAUGGGGCAAGCGUUAUCCGGAUUUACUGGGUGUAAAGGGAGCGCAGGCGGCGCGGUAAGCCUGGUGUGAAAGCCCGCGGCCCAACCGCGGGACUGCAUUGGGAACUGGCGCGCUGGAGUGCAGGAGGGGUAGGCGGAAUUCCUAGUGUAGCGGUGAAAUGCGUAGAUAUUAGGAGGAACACCAGUGGCGAAGGCGGCCUACUGGACGGUGACUGACGCUGAGGCUCGAAAGCGUGGGGAGCAAACAGGAUUAGAUACCCGGGUAGUC